UAAGCUCAGGCGGGGAUGGGAGGGGAG
rnacentral:piRNA from 1 species